CUACGGGGCGCAGCAGUAAGGAAUAUUGCGCAAUGGAGGCAACUCUGACGCAGCCAUGCCGCGUGCAGGAAGAAGGCCUUAUGGGUCGUAAACUGCUUUUAUUUAGGAAUAAACCCCCGAACGUGUUCGGGGCUGAAGGUACUAAACGAAUAAGCACCGGCUAACUCCGUGCCAGCAGCCGCGGUAAUACGGAGGGUGCAAGCGUUAUCCGGAUUUAUUGGGUUUAAAGGGUGCGCAGGCGGGCUAUUAAGUCAGUGGUGAAAUCCCGGGGCUCAACUCCGGAACUGCCAUUGAUACUGAUAGUCUUGAGUUUGGUUGAGGUGGGCGGAAUGUAGCAUGUAGCGGUGAAAUGCAUAGAUAUGCUACAGAACACCAAUCGCGAAGGCAGCUCACUAAGCCAAAACUGACGCUCAUGCACGAAAGCGUGGGGAUCAAACAGGAUUAGAUACCCUCGUAGUC
rnacentral:rRNA from 1 species